rnacentral:rRNA from 1 species
CUUGGUCAUUUAGAGGAAGUAAAAGUCGUAACAAGGUUUCCGUAGGUGAACCUGCGGAAGGAUCAUUAUUGAAAUCAUAGCAAGAGGGGGGAAGAACGGUUGAUUGCUGGUCCUUUUGGACAUGUGCACACUGAUUACUCUCUGCUUGCCUUAUCUGUUUUUAACACCUGUGCACUUUUUGUAGACCAUAAUCUUGGUCUAUGUUUUUACCUUUUAUAUAUAUACCCCUGAAUGUUUAAAUGAUGUCAGUAGAAGUGUGAAUGCUUCGAAAACACUAUACAACUUUCAACAACGGAUCUCUUGGCUCUCGCAUCGAUGAAGAACGCAGCGAAAUGCGAUAAGUAAUGUGAAUUGCAGAAUUCAGUGAAUCAUCGAGUUUUUGAACGCACCUUGCGCUCCUUGGUAUUCCGAGGAGCAUGCCUGUUUGAGUGUCAUAAAUUUCUCAAAGGCCUUGUCUGUUUUGCCAAGGGCAUUUGGAGUUGGAGUGUGCUGGAUUGAUACAUUCUUCGGCUACUCUGGAAUAUAUUAGCAAUCCUUUGUGAUGGAAUUGAAGCUUCAUUUGGUGUGAUACAUGAUCUAUGCCAUUUGAUACAUCAAUCGGUCUCAUAGAUWGCUGCUAAAAUGUGUUUUGUUGGACACAGCUAUUUUAUAGUUUUGACCUCAAAUCAGGUAGGAAUACCCGCUGAACUUAAGCAUAUCA